ACAAGCGGUGGAGCAUGUGGUUUAAUUCGACGCAACGCGAAAACCUUACCUGGGCUUGACAUGCUGGUAGUAGUGAACCGAAAGGGAAACGAUCCUGAGCAAUCAGGAAGCCAACACAGGUGCUGCAUGACUGUCGUCAGCUCGUGUCGUGAGAUGUUGGGUUAAGUCCCGUAACGAGCGCAACCCCUAUCUUUAGUUGCCAUCAUUGAGUUGGGCACUCUAAAGAGACUGCCGGUGUCAAACCGGAGGAAGGUGGGGAUGACGUCAAGUCCUCAUGGCCUUUAUGACCAGGGCUACACACGUACUACAAUGGCCGGUACAAAGGGCAGCGACACAGCGAUGUGAAGCGAAUCCCGAAAAGCCGGUCUCAGUCCGGAUUGGAGUCUGCAACUCGACUCCAUGAAGUUGGAAUCGCUAGUAAUCGCGGAUCAGCACGCCGCGGUGAAUACGUUCCCGGGCCUU
rnacentral:rRNA from 1 species